rnacentral:rRNA from 1 species
CAGUCGCCACGGUAAUACGUAGGGUGCAAGCGUUAAUCGGAAUUACUGGGCGUAAAGCGUGCGCAGGCGGUUUUGUAAGACAGAGGUGAAAUCCCCGGGCUCAACCUGGGAACUGCCUUUGUGACUGCAAGGCUAGAGUACGGCAGAGGGGGAUGGAAUUCCGCGUGUAGCAGUGAAAUGCGUAGAUAUGCGGAGGAACACCGAUGGCGAAGGCAAUCCCCUGGGCCUGUACUGACGCUCAUGCACGAAAGCGUGGGGAGCAAACAGGAUUAGAUACCCGAGUAGUCCCUGUCUCUUAUAC